rnacentral:rRNA from 1 species
AUUGAACGCUGGCGGCAGGCCUAACACAUGCAAGUCGAGCGAGAGGCGGACGGGUGAGUAAGGUCUGGGAAACUGCCUGAUGGAGGGGGAUAAGUACUGGAAAAGGUAGCUAAUACAGCAUACGAUGAGAUGUGACCAGAGGGGAUUAGCUAGUAGGUGGGGUAAUGGCGCACCUAGGCGACGAUCCCUCGCGGGUCUGAGAGGAUGACCAGCCACACUGGAACUGAGACACGGUCCAGACUCCUACGGGAGGCAGCAGUGGGGAAUAUUGCACAAUGGGCGCAAGCCUGAUGCAGCCAUGCCGCGUGUGUGAAGAAGGCCUUCGGGUUGUAAAGUACUUUCAGCGGGGAGGCGUUACCCGCAGAAGAAGCACCGGCUAACUCCGUGCCAGCCGCCGCGGUAAUUC